GCCACAUCAAUUUGAAACACAGGUUCCCGUACGAUCGCCGAAGUUAAGCAACGUCGAACAUGGUCAGUACCAAGAUGGUUGACUGUGUGAGAAUAUCAGGUGUUGUAAG